UACGAGUGCCCCAAGCGUUACCCGGAAUUAUUGGGCGUAAAGAGUCUGUAGGUGGUUCUGUUAGUCAUGUGUUAAAGCUCCUGGCUUAACUGGGAAAAAGCAUAUGAAACGGCAGGACUAGAGGGUAUGAGAGGUGUGCGGAACUCAUGGUGUAGGGGUGAAAUCCGUUGAUAUUAUGGGGAACACCGAAAGCGAAGGCAGCACACUGGCAUAUUCCUGACACUGAGAGACGAAAGCGUGGGUAGCGAAUGGG
rnacentral:rRNA from 1 species